GGGGUGAACCACAAAUGGCUGCUCUUUUCCGCCUUGUUUGGUGACAUGGGUGUGACACAACCAGCAUUUGUUUGUGAAGAUCCUUAGAGUAUGUUGCAGCUUUCUCUGGUUCUCUAGCCAGCCUCAAUUCUGUCCCUCGUAGAGCACACCCGAGUCUGGCGAGUGCAGGUCCACCAGGGGGGCAUAACAUGUACUGGUUUCACUGGAGUGAUAAGAUGUGGGUAAUCAGAUCCAAUGAGUAGAUGCUUGGCAGCGGCAGAUCCUUGAGAUGACAAUACCUCUCCUGCAGAGCUUAGACUGGCCUGAAUAUCUUGGUGUGAAGCAGUUGCUUGGAUCCGGCUCGAAGGACCAAAAAUGGUGUGAAAGACGUAUAUUGUGGAAAAAUAGGUGUGGCAACAAUCGCUUCAGGGUGUCGGAUAAAUUUGUGCUCAGUUCUAGGUUUGUCUGCAGACUCUGACUCAUCACCGCAUCACAAAGCUCCAAGUCUUUUCAAUGACAGUGACAGCAGCUUUUUUCAGGUGCAGAGGCGUCAGUGGAUUUUUAAAAAAGUAUUGUGAUUCCCUGCU